rnacentral:rRNA from 1 species
GAUGAACGCUGGCGGCGUGCUUAACACAUGCAAGUCGAACGGUGAACACGGAGCUUGCUCUGUGGGAUCAGUGGCGAACGGGUGAGUAACACGUGAGCAACCUGCUCCUGACUCUGGGAUAAGCGCUGGAAACGGCGUCUAAUACUGGAUAUGUGACGUGACCGCAUGGUCUGCGUUUGGAAAGAUUUUUCGGUUGGGGAUGGGCUCGCGGCCUAUCAGCUUGUUGGUGAGGUAAUGGCUCACCAAGGCGUCGACGGGUAGCCGGCCUGAGAGGGUGACCGGCCACACUGGGACUGAGACACGGCCCAGACUCCUACGGGAGGCAGCAGUGGGGAAUAUUGCACAAUGGGCGCAAGCCUGAUGCAGCAACGCCGCGUGAGGGAUGACGGCCUUCGGGUUGUAAACCUCUUUUAGCAGGGAAGAAGCGAAAGUGACGGUACCUGCAGAAAAAGCGCCGGCUAACUACGUG